rnacentral:rRNA from 1 species
CUGGCGUCCUUCGGGCGUCCGAGUUGUAAUCUAUAGAAGUGUUUUCCGUGCCGGACCAUGUCCAAGUCCCUUGGAACAGGGUAUCAAAGAGGGUGACAAUCCCGUACUUGACAUGACCACCGGUGCUCUGUGAUACACUUUCUACGAGUCGAGUUGUUUGGGAAUGCAGCUCAAAAUGGGUGGUAAAUUCCAUCUAAAGCUAAAUAUUGGCGAGAGACCGAUAGCGAACAAGUACCGUGAGGGAAAGAUGAAAAGCACUUUGGAAAGAGAGUUAAACAGUACGUGAAAUUGUUGAAAGGGAAACGAUUGAAGUCAGUCGUGUUCUUUGGACUCAGCCGGUUCUUCCGGUCUAUUUCCUUUGAACGGGUCAACAUCAGUUUUGUCCGGUGGAUAAAGGCAGGAAGAAAGUGGCUCCCUCGGGAGUGUUAUAGCUUUCUGUCACAUACACUGGAGGAGACUGAGGACUGCAGCUCGCCUUUUGGCCGGGGUUCGCCCACGUUCGAGCUUAGGAUGUUGACAUAAUGGCUUUAAACG